CGGAGGAAAAGAAACCAACAGGGAUUGCCCUAGUAACGGCGAGUGAAGCGGCAACAGCUCAAAUUUGAAAUCUGGCUCUUUCAGAGUCCGAGUUGUAAUUUGCAGAGGGCGCUUUGGCGUUGGCAGCGGUCCAAGUUCUUUGGAACAGGACGUCACAGAGGGUGAGAAUCCCGUACGUGGUCGCUAGCCAUCACCGUGUAAAGCCCCUUCGACGAGUCGAGUUGUUUGGGAAUGCAGCUCUAAAUGGGAGGUAAAUUUCUUCUAAAGCUAAAUACUGGCCAGAGACCGAUAGCGCACAAGUAGAGUGAUCGAAAGAUGAAAAGCACUUUGGAAAGAGAGUCAAAUAGCACGUGAAAUUGUUGAAAGGGAAGCGCUUGCAGCCAGACUUGCCUGUAGUUGCUUACCUAGACUUUUGUCUGGGGCACUCUUCUGCAGGCAGGCCAGCAUCAGUUUGGGCGGUUGGAUAAAGGUCUCUGUCACGUACCUCCCUUCGGGGAGGCCUUAUAGGGGAGACGUAAUGCAACCAGCCUGGACUGAGGUCCGCGCAUCUGCUAGGAUGCUGGCGUAAUGGCUGUAAGCGGCCCGUCUUGAAACACGGACCAAGGAGUCUAACAUCUAUGCGAGUGUUUGGGUGUCAAGCCCAUACGCGUAAUGAAAGUGAACGGAGGUGGGAACCUUAGGGUGCACCAUCGACCGAUCCUGAUGUCUUCGGAUGGAUUUGAGUAAGAGCAUGGCUGUUGGGACCCGAAAGAUGGUGAACUAUGCUUGAAUAGGGUGAAGCCAGAGGAAACUCUGGUGGAGGCUCGCAGCGGUUCUGACGUGCAAAUCGAUCGUCAAAUUUGGGCAUAGGGGCGAAAGACUAAUCGAACUAUCUAGUAGCUGGUUCCUGC
rnacentral:rRNA from 1 species